rfam:Populus trichocarpa scaffold_14_contig_89, whole genome shotgun sequence.
UAAUAUGUUCAUGGCAGAUCUUAUCUACUUAUACAAGAUAAAUAACCGACUAAUAAGAAUUACAUGUUAUUUAAAUCUCGGCUACAUCAUUGUGCAAAUAGAGUAGUCGAAAUCCAUAGA